AUGCAGCGGUGCCGGGGCGCAGGGCUGGCGGGGCUGGCCGCACUGCUCCUGGUAGUUGCAGGCAGAGCCCAGGUGCAUCAGGACCCAUCAGCAGAGACCACCGAGGGCACCGGCAUCAGCAUCAACUGCUCACACCCCAACAUACAGUCUUACGACUUCAUCCACUGGUACCGUCAGCUCCCUGGCAGAGGACCCGCAUUCCUCGCACUCGCUCUUAAAGAGUCCAAAGAGCUGCGGGACCCGCCGGGGCGGCUGUCGGUGGCAGCAGACCGCCGGUCCAGCACCCUGUGGCUUGCCCGAGCCAAGCGCGGGGACGCGGCGGUGUAUUACUGCAGCCUCCUUGUGGCAGAGGUGUGA